rnacentral:lncRNA from 1 species
AGACAGGUCUUUACCCGAAUGGGUAGCAUGGGGAGAUGCCCCAAAUAUUCAAGUUGGUGGAUCCAGUGUGAACCCAUUUGAAGAUCAUAAUAAUUCUGCUGACCAUAUUGCUUCCUCGGGGGAGAUAGCAACUCCACCACUUAGUUCCACUUCUAGUUGCAGUGGAGAAUCUAUUCCAAAUGGUGUUUCAUCCCCUGGUUCGAGCAAAACUCGGAGGAGAUAGCAACUCCACCACUUAGUUCCACUUCUAGUUGCAGUGGAGAAUCUAUUCCAAAUGGUGUUUUAUCCCCUGGUUCGAGCAAAAGUUCAUCUGGAUCUGAUUCUAGUCAGAAAGCAGC